ACUUAAGCUCGGCGUGUUCUCGAGUUCCGCGUGAUCACCUCUUGGCCGUGACAUCCGGGCGCAUCGCUGUUGUCGGGACCAAAGUGGUCGAAUUAUCACCUUUGCCGAUAUUAAGGUCAAAUCGGCUGGCACGCCUUAACGUUGGAAUCGGGUAUUAGCCCUUUGUGUUUGCAGAUCAGUUUUGCAUCAACAGGACCUAUGAGAGAGAUGGUCACGGGCAGACAAUAGUUAGUAAGAUCACUAGCAUAUAGAGCUAUGUCACAACAAGCUAUACUACUAAACUAAGCUACACAUGGCAAAGCUAGCAACUAAAACUAAUCACACUACUUUGCAGGAAUAUAAAUAGAGAGGAUAUAAUCUUUAUACCGCCGCGUAGGAGAUGAACCAAUCACCAAGAUAUGAACCAAUCAAACACCGGAAGAAUACCAAUCAAUCACAAAUGAGACACAUGAUUUUUCUCCCGAGGUUCACGUGCUUGCUGGCACGCUAGUCUCCGUUGUGUUGACCAGCACUUGGUGGUUCAGCAGCUAAGAGGUGUAGCAUGAACCUCGUCCAUACAAUUGGACACCAUAAGAACCUACCCACAAGUGAGGUAGCUCAAUGACAUGAGCAAUUUACUAGAGUUACCUUUUAGCUCUCCAUCAGGGAAGGCACAAGCCCCCUCACAAUCACCAAGAGAUGGCCACGAACAAUCACCAACUCAUGUUGAUGCUCCUCCACUGCUCCAAGCAGUCUAAGUGGCGGCAAUAACCAAGGGUAACAAGAACUCCAUAGCUCAAACAAUCCCCAAGUGCCACUAGAUUCAAUCACUCAUGCAAAUGCACAUGGAACUACUCCCAUUCUCACUAUGAUGAUGAUUCAAUGACAGAGAUGAGUGGUAGGUGUUUGCUUAGGCUCACAAGGAUAACAAAUAAGUCAAAGUGCCAAGAGAGUGAGCCCAAGUCAGCCAAACACUAUUUAUAGAGCCCCCAAAAGAAUAGAGUUAUUGGCUCUCUGUUCUCACAAAACUCAGGCCACUGGACGCUUCAGUCGACCCUAGCAUCCAGUGCUCAGAUGCUUGCCAUAUGUCCUCUACCUUUGAAUGUCACGUGUCAGAUCUCCACGAUUAAGUUCACACUGGACGCACUAAUCGGACUCAACACCUAGCAUUCGGUCGCUACUCAGAGAGCAUCCAAAUAUGAUUUUCAAUACCGGACGCGUCUAGUGCCUAGUGAUCGGACUCGACCCUGCAUCUGGUGCUUCCUUAGCUCACACGUCUGGUGCCUAGUCA
rnacentral:lncRNA from 1 species